rnacentral:rRNA from 14 species
CGGAGCUUUCCGAAUGGGGAAACCCACCGAAAGGUAUCGUCAUCUGAAUACAUAGGGUGACGAGGCGAACCGGGUGAACUGAAACAUCUCAGUAGCUCGAGGAAAAGACAUCAACCGAGAUUCCGAAAGUAGUGGCGAGCGAAAUCGGAACAGCCUGUCAGUGAUAGCACGACUCUUAACGGAGCAGUCUGGAAAGGCUGGCCAUAGUGGGUGAUAGCCCCGUACGUGAAAAGAGACGUGUGGUACUGAGCUGACGAAAAGUAGGGCGGGACACGUGAAAUCCUGUCUGAAGAUGGGGGGACCAUCCUCCAAGGCAAAAUACU